CGUCGGCGAGCUGAGAGUCUGGUGUCUUCUGUAGGAGCGAUGACGCCAUCUUUUUCUGGGUCUUCAGAGCGGUUGCAGAGAGAUGCCCAGAUGGAGAGAGGCCCGAAUCCAAGAGAAUUAAUAACAAGUAAUUUGUUUAAGACCUGACUCUUUGAAAAGUGAAAGCACAGAUGCCGGCUGCCUAUAAAGUAACUGGAGCUCCUCGGAGAACCGAGUGGCCAGAGACAACAAGCCUUUGCUGACGAAUGAGAAUUGGAGGUGGUGAAAAGGCAGACAAGAAGAUACGCAGUGUUAACUAGCAUGUUUAGAGUUGAGGUCUUUGCACGGCCCUCGCUGUCCUCAUUCCUCCAUCUUCCUAAACACUGGGGACUGUGCCUGCGGAGCCACCUGUGAUACUAGUUUCUAUUGAGUAGAACGUGGGAUCAUGUUUACAGAAAGUUGUGGGUUGUGUGCAAUCAGUGGAUGGGAGUGUUUAGUCAUUGGUCCUGUUGGGUUUAAAUAUGGAUGGAAUUUAAGCUGGGUGAAAAUUUUCAGUGGUUUCAUGAGGAUCUUUACUGGGAUUAUGGCACUUUAGUGAACAGAAUUCAGUGUAAACAGGACAGCAUAUGAUGUGGCCUGUAAGAUUUGUUAUGUCAUAUUUUCUUACGCAGUAGGACUUAACUGCAAAUGCUGCAAUAAAUGUUAAGUUGCAACAACUAUU